UGCUUUAAUUUUUAUUAUCAUCUCUUGUCAAUAAUAAUAAAAAUUAAUCUGCAGAACAAUGUCAUCAUCACUCACUCAUCUUUAUCUCAGAAGAUUGAAAGCUUGCUAUUUUUAAAUGGAUAAAUCUACAUUAAAUAAUGUUGAUUAAAAUUCAACUUUAAUAUCCUGAUUAUCCUGUUAAAUUUUAUAAAAUCAAUCAUAGGAUAAAACAAAAAUCUGAACUAGCUUGUAGGACCUUAGAAUAAAAUUAUAGAUGCAGGAGUGCUUUCGGGCUGGACUGCCCCUCUUCAGCUGCAUAUUAACCGAAGAUGUAUCAUAACUGGCCAACAAACCAUACACUGCUGACUGUAUCAUCAAAUUCAAAACUCUCUUCCAAACUAGUUAACUUUGUUUUCAAUGGGAAAUUAUUAACAGUUUCUUGUAAGCUUUUUUUUUUUGUGAUUUUAGGAUUAACCAACAAAGGGGCUAGUCACUUGUCUGAUAUCUUUUGCUGUAUGAACUCUAAAAUUUAUGGAAUUUAUCUCUCUCUCAAUUUCUUCCCAAUCUUUGUUUGGC
rnacentral:lncRNA from 1 species